AAUCGAAGCAGUGAACUUAAGCCCCAGUAAACGGCGGCCGUAACUAUAACGGUCCUAAGGUAGCGAAAUUCCUUGUCGGGUAAGUUCCGACCCGCACGAAAGGCGUAACGAUUUGGGCACUGUCUCAACAACAGACUCGGUGAAAUUGUAAUUCCGGUGAAGAUGCCGGAUACCUGCGACAGGACGGAAAGACCCCAUGGAGCUUUACUGUAGCUUGACAUUGGGUCUUGGUACUACAUGUACAGGAUAGGUGGGAGGCUUUGAAACCAGGACGCCAGUUUUGGCGGAGCCAUCCUUGGGAUACCACCCUUGUAGUACUGGGACUCUAACCAUAGGCCAUGAAUCUGGUCUUGGGACACUGUCAGGUGGGCAGUUUGACUGGGGCGGUCGCCUCCCAAAAGGUAACGGAGGCGCUCAAAGGUUCUCUCAGUACGGUCGGAAAUCGUACGUAGAGUGUAAAGGCAAAAGAG
rnacentral:rRNA from 1 species